rnacentral:rRNA from 1 species
UCUAGCAACUCUGGAACUCUCACAUGGUCUCCCGCUGAAGCUAAGCAGAGCUGCGCCCGGUCAGUACCUGGAUGGGUGACCACAUGGGAAAGCUAGGUAGCUGUUGGAA